rnacentral:RNase_P_RNA from 1 species
ACAGUGUUUCGGUCUGCCGCUGGCAUCAGCAAUGGUGCGAGAGGAAAGUCCGGGCAGCAUAGGACGUCCCACUUCCGAAAACAGAAGCAGUUGGCGACAGCUGGAUAUGGAAGAAGAGAAUGACCGCCCGCAAGGGUAAGGGUGAGAAGGUGGUGUAAGAGACCACCAGCCGACGGGUGAUCGUCGGGCUGUUCCAUCUGGGAGCUGCAAGUUCACGUAAACCAUCGUCUGAGGGUUGUCCGCCCGAGUAACAACGAUGGAGGGUAGAAUGCUAGAGACGUAGGGUGACCUGCGUAGUAGAUAAAUGGCAGACGCCUUGCUUUAGCAAGGAACAGAACCCGGCUUACAGAAACACUGUUUAC